CACUCUCCUAACUUCUAACAUCAUAGGGUAUUGGAGGCCAACAUCCACAUGAAAUGUGUCCAUCUGUUUAAGCAUACGUGCCAGGCAGCUAAACUUACAGAACGACCAGUCAGGCCCCCUCAGGAUAUGUAUGUAUUUAUUUUUCUUUUAAAUAAGCAAAUCAGACUUCUAGAAUAUCUUGGUGGUUAAUUUUAUGUGCCAACUUGACUGUGCUAAGGGAUGUCCAGGUAGCCUGUAAAACAUUAUUUCUGGGUUUGUUUGUGAGGGAAUUUCUGGAGGAAAUUAGCAUUUGAGUUAUUAGACUGUAUCUGAAAGACCUGCCCUCACCAAGGUGGGUGGACAUCAUCCAAGAUUAAAUAGCACAAAUGGCAGAGGUAGGGCUCAUUCUUUCUUUUGCUUCUUGAGCUGGAAGAUCCAUCUUCUCCUGCCCUUGGACAUAAGAGCUCCUGGUUCUUGGGCCUUUGGACUCAGGGUUUAUACUAGCGGCCUCCCAUCCCCACCCCCAAC
rnacentral:lncRNA from 1 species